UCACUCCCUGCUCAGCAGCAGCAUGGGCUGUCCGCGGGGCAAGCAGAGCCCUGCUGGGUUAUUACUUGAUGGCAGUGACUCACUGUGUCUUUUUAAGAUAACUUGUACAUAUCCUCUUAUCCCCUAACGUCGCCUGCCCGUGUUACGUGUGACUAGCAUUACGUGCUGUUGGAACUUCCCGUUUUAUUUUUAUUUUUAUUUUUGCUUUUGAUGUUUUGAUGUAACGGUACUGGUAGCAGAGCUGUUUUUCAACGCAUGUGAACUAACCUCCUGAGGACUCCUGCUAGGAGGAGCGGGAGUCCUGCCUGAUUUGUAUGUGCCCUUGAGGGGGAAAGACAAUAAACACUUGUACUAAACUCA